rnacentral:lncRNA from 1 species
UCUGUGAACCAUGUGAAUCUUUUCAAAUACCUACUUGUGACGAUUAUGUUUACCAUUUGAUUUAUUACUCGCAAUUUAUUCAUGGUUUGUGGGAACAAUGUGAGACGACUGAAUGCCUUAAAACAUGUCCAUCUUUGUUUCAAAUAUUUGACGAGGCAGUGGUGAGUAAAUUAGAUUGUUUGCAUGGUAAUCUGAAUCUGUCCAUUUACAUGCGUUAUACCUGUUCUGUUAUGCUUAUGAUUGGACUACAAGCUUGUUUCCGUUGCUAUUUACUAUCUCAUGGCUAUUCUUUUCAGUGGACUCAAUUGCCAUUAGUCCCGUUCGAUAGAGGAAAGUCGAGUUCAUUUGAUUUUUCAGAUUCGAGGACGAAUCUUUUUGAGGAAGGGGGGAAUGAUACGAGUCACAAAAGCCCAAAUUCUUGAAGGCGAGGCCCAAUAAGCAAAUUCCCAGCCCAAUCAAGAAAUCCAUCCAUACUUAGUUGAAAAUCAGGCCAAAUUGUCAAAGUGGCCCAAGUUAUAAAGUAUUAUUUUUAUUUUUAUUUAUU